UUUCCCAGUAAGUGUGCAUUGAUUCCCACAGGGACCAAGAGGCCCAGAGACCUGAUUUCGAUUGCAGCACUAGAACGCGGAGACAAUACCCACAAUCUCCCUUUUCUGCUGCAGCUGCCAAAGGCCAAGAGUGCAGCGAUCUGAGGGCCUCUUGAGACCUCCUGUGUUCACUGCGUUGGGCUCAGGUUGAUCGUGGAAGAAAAUGGCACAACUUUUGCCUCAUAAGGACACUACAUUCCUAGUGAGGCAGGCCCACACUGGGCGAGAUGGAGAGCAGUUCGACAUCUCUGGCAGCUCAUGGUGAGGAUCUGAGGAGACUUCUUUCUCACCCAAGACUGUCAAGACUUUAGGAAUCACAUACCAAAGCAAUGAUUUUUAAUUACUAGAGUAAUAGUUGAAUAAGAUGAACUGCCAGAGAGGCUUGCUCAAGGCUAAUGAAUGAAGAAAUCCUUAGAUGGGAGAAAUCCUGGUAAACUUGAAAUAAAUAGCAGAUGCCCAGCAAGUUCUGGUGUCCAGCAAGCCUACUUGGUGAGGACUGUAUUUUCAACAGCCAGCUUGCCAUUUU